rnacentral:rRNA from 1 species
UACGGGGGGGGCAAGCGUUGUUCGGAAUUACUGGGCGUAAAGGGCUCGUAGGCGGCCAACUAAGUCAGACGUGAAAUCCCUCGGCUUAACCGGGGAACUGCGUCUGAUACUGGAUGGCUUGAGUGUGGCAGAGGGGGGUGGAAUUCCACGUGUAGCAGUGAAAUGCGUAGAGAUGUGGAGGAACACCGAUGGCGAAGGCAGCCCCCUGGGCUAACACUGACGCUCAUGCACGAAAGCGUGGGGAGCAAACAGG